AUACGGAGGGUGCGAGCGUUGUUCGGAAUUAUUGGGCGUAAAGAGCAUGUAGGCGGUCUGUUAAGUCUGGUGUGAAAGCCCGGGGCUCCACCCCGGAAGUGCAUUGGAUACUGGCAGACUUGAGUAUGGGAGAGGAAAGCGGAAUUCCGAGUGUAGGAGUGAAAUCCGUAGAUAUUCGGAGGAACACCAGUGGCGAAGGCGGCUUUCUGGACCAAUACUGACGCUGAGAUGCGAAAGCGUGGGGAGCAAACAGGAUUAGAUACCCGAGUAGUCC
rnacentral:rRNA from 1 species